ensembl:lncRNA
UCUCUAUCAGAGCACAGCUGCUUCACCCCUAAGUAUACGCCUAGAGGCCACAUGAAACAUACUCCCUGUCUGCUCACAGUAUGUGUUCUCCAGGAGCAAAGCUUUGUUGCUCUGAGAGCUAUUUUUGACUUUAAAGACCGAACAGGAGAUGCAUUGUGAGACAAGCAGGUUGGUAAAGUAUAUCGUGUAUAUCGAUGGCAUCCUGGUCUACUCGGCUGCCUUGGAGGAUCACAUCGCUCAAGUCCGAGUUGUCCUGGAACGCUUCCUGGCUAACCACCUGUUUGUCAAGGCUGAGAAGUGCCAGUCAUCAGGAGGCCGUCUCCUUCCUAGGCUACCAAAUCAGCAUACAAGGAGUGAAGAUGGAUGUCAAGAAGAGAGGAAUGAUGAUGUCGGUGAUCAAGAGCUCCUGGCUGUGAAGUUGGCUCCAAGGACCCAUUCAUCAUCCUCACUGACCAUCGGAAUCUGGAGUACUUACGGACAGCGAAGAGGCUGAAUCCGCGCCAAGCAAGAUGUGGAUAUCCGCCAGGCUCUGGAGAGGGAGCCCACACCCACUACCUGUCCUGAGUGCAUCUACGUUCUCACGGGGAUCGGCUGCUGACCUGGGAGCACACAGCUGUCGUCGUUGGACAUCCAGGUCGCUGAGUCAUUAUGGCCUUCCGGAGGACAUCAUCUCCAACCGUGGGCCCAAAUUCACAUCACGGGCAUGGAGAGCCUUUAUGGAGAAGCUCAUGGUCACGGUCAGCUUCACUUCCGGGUAUAGGCCUCAGUCCAACAGGCAGGUGUAGAGGAGGAACCAGGAGCUGGGGAGGUUCCUGAGGAGUCACUGCCAGGACCGGCAGGGAGAAUGUCAUGUCUACUCCCGCUCCUCCCCUCCAGCGUUCGAGCUCGCCGGUUUACUAACCACCAGUCCUGGGAAGCAUCAUCCCGCGCACGUGCACUUCAUCAUUACGCACACCUGGACUCCAUUUCCUCCCCUUUAUCUGACACUCCCUUAGUUUCUUUCCCCAGGCAGUAUUGUUUUCUGUUGUUCAUAUCUAGAUGCUACUCCUAUGUUGUAUCAUUACAUGUUUCUUGUUAUAUUAAUCUUACUACCUGCUUCUUGACUCCCAGAGUCUACAUUACAGUAGAUUAAAAUCAAAACUGUAAUCUGGCCACUCAGGAAUUCACUGUAAAUAACUCCAGUACAGAUUUGGCUUUGUGUUUUAGGUUAUUGCCCUGCUGAAAGGAGAAUUCAUCUCCCAGUAUCUAGUGGUAAGCAGACAACUAGAUUUUGCCUGUGCUUAGCUCCAUUCCGUAAUUUUUUUAAAUCCUGAAAUACUCCCCAGUACUUAACGAUUACAAGCAUACCCAUAACAUGAUGCAGCCACCACUGUGCUUGAAAACAUAGAGUGUGGUACUCAGUAAUGGAUUUGCCUCAAAAAUAACACUUUGUCUUCAGGACAAAAAGUGAAUUCCUUUGCCACAUUUUUGCAGUAUUAGUGCUUUGUUGCAAACAGGAUGCAUGUUUUGGAAUAUGUUUUAUUAUGUACAGGCUUCCUUCUUUUAACUCUGCAGUUACUCCACAAUACUAACAUAAUUGACAAUGUUGCUGUCAGUUUUCUCCUACCACAGCCAUUAAACUCUGUAACUGUCUCACCGGUUACUAGGAGUGGUGGGUAGGAGUCAGGUGCAGAGAGCAGAGGAUUCAGUGAUUAGUAAUAUUUAUGUGCAAGAAUAGUGUUUAACAUGAUUUUUUUAUGACUACCUCAUCUCUCAUCUCAAAUAAUGCGCGGGGUAAAAAAAUAAAUAAUCUUAAACACUAUUCUUGCACAUAGAGUGAGUCCAUACAACUUAUUAUGUGACAUGUUAAGCACAUUUUUACUCCUGAAUUUACAAGAUAUUUUAGCUUUUCAUUUUUUCUUAAUUUGUAAAAAUGUCUAAAACCAUAAUACCAAAUUGACAUUAUGGGGUAUUGUGUGUAGGCCAGUGACCAAAAAUCUCAGUUUAAUUCAUUUUAAAUUUAGGCUGUAACACAACACAAUGUGUGAAUACUUCCUGAAAGCACUCUAUACCACUACCUAUUCCAGUAUGUAUACCAGCAUCUACAAUAUACCACUACCUGUACCAUGAUCUACACCAGCAUCUAUACCAGCAUCUACAGUAUAUCACUAUCUAUACCACUAUCUAUACCAACAUCUACAGUAUACCACUAUCUAUACCAGCAUCUAUAUCGGCAUCUACAGUAUAUUACUAUCUAUACCACUAUCUAUAAAAGCAUCUACAGUAUAUUACUAUCUAUACCACUAUCUAGAGCUCUAUCUAUAAAGGCAUCUACAGUAUAUCAGUAUCUAUACCACUAUCUAUAUCACUAUCUAUACCUCCAUCUACAGUAUAUUACUAUCUACACAACCAUCUAUACCUCAAUCUAC